rnacentral:lncRNA from 1 species
AUGCUGAUCCUCCAGCUGACUGUGCCUAAGCUGCCUAUGGGACUCAUCUGGAAUACCAUUUUCAAGAGUAUUGUCAAGCUAAAUAUGCUACAAGAUCCGGUAUUGUCUCAGCCGUCUCCAGAUAUGCAAGGAGUUGUCUGCAAUUCAGUCCAUUUAUCUUCCAACACUGGCUCUUCUGCUGAAGUUUUCCAUCUCUGUGAUCCAUUAAAAGUCUAUUAUGUGAUAUUUAUCUAUUCUAAUAUUCUCCAUUCUCCAAUUUUCUGAAAACUGCCAGAGCAUUCCUUGUUCUCUAAGAAAUCCAAGUGGCAUGAUUUAGAUAGGAGAUCUGCAAAAUGAAUGCAGCAUUGCUCUGUUGUUCAUUGACAGAGCUGAUCGUUGAGCACUGUUCUACACCUUACCUGUUUCUCUGUUAGAAACCUAGAAUACUUAUGGUUGUUAGGUUUGAGACUCACAGUUUCGUAGAUCUCCCCUUGCCCAAUGGUACUGCCAGGAAGUUGUGUUUGUUUUCUCCAGAUUCUCAAUGAAAAUGGUAACCACUGUGAUCAGUCAGAUUUUCGAUCAGUUUUGAUAAAUCCUGCUAUAAGAUACUGAUAUCAGACUGGUAUAUCAGUUUCAGCAAACAGUUUUGCCAUUUUAAAUAUCAUGUUUUCAAAGUUUUUGUGGAGACCAAAACAAAUUGUUUCAUGAUUUAUAUGUCGCAGACACAUAAAAAGAACACUAAGCUCAAGCUGNNNNNNNNNNNNNNNNNNNNUUUUCACGCCAUUUUUUCCUCACUGUGCAGUUGUGGUUUCUCAGAUGAAUUUAACUUAACCCCAUGUACUCCUUCUUUGCUUGCACUGGUAUUCUUCACCCUCCAUAAUCCAUAUUAAAUUUAGCAGCCAUUGUGCUCUGAAUUUCUGUUCUAAUACAGUUAUCAACAAUUUUAAGCUCCUUAGGCUUUUUUUUUUUUCUUUUAAUAUAUGCAGGACUGUAGGACAUGAUAUUACAAGUUCUCAGAACUUGGCUCCUUGUCUUACAUGCCUUUUUUCAGUGAAAUGUGCAAACCAUAUCAGAUUUAGAGAUCCAUCACACAUGCUGACAUAAGGAGAUGCUUAUGUUUCCUGUUCCAUCACAAACACUCCCAUAAAAUGCAUUCUGAACAGUAUAUAUUCAAAGUAUAUAUUUCUGGCUGUUUUGAACGGAAAUGAAAUUAUUUGAUUCAUGAGUCUGUGAAUAAUGUGACGUUCCUGGUUUUUGUGCUGCUUAACUUUUUAUUUUCAAAUAUUAAGCCCCUUGCCUUAUUCUGUAUAUCGUCAAACAAAUAUUUUUUCAAGAAAUUUAAAAUUUACUGUCUGACAAUUUUUCCUAUAAUUCAUUAUGUUGGUGCUUAAAUUUCAUAACUGCAGCCAAUUUUCCAAUCCAAUCUUUAAUUAAAUCAAUGUUUCAUAUCUCAUAAAUAGAAAAAAAAAACAAAGUUCUAAUAAUAAAAAGAACACUAAGCUCA